GUGGCUGUGACUGCCCGCCCCCACAACGCCCUUCUCUGUCUCCGUUUUCUUCACGGGGUUCUGAACUUUUGGGCAAAUGUGUCAAGUAGGAACACAGACAAAGCCUCACUUCAAAGCUCUUGUUAAGGGCCCUUAAAGUCAUAGUUAUUGCGAAACUACGGCCGUCUGGCGAACCUGCCUUAUGUAAGGGUGCUUGAAAGUAUGAUUCACCAAACGUUUCCGCGGACAUUGCAAAGUUGUUGGAGCCAGAGUAGGAGAAAGACCACCCAUUUGAGGUCAUGGCUUGACAGGGAACACUCCCUCCUGACACGAGAAUGGGACCAAUCUAGAAAUCUCUUCUCUGCCUCGCCUUUUUUUGGAGGGUUGGGAUAGUGGACUGUCUUCAUGCAUGGUGAGAUGAUCAACACGAACAGCGGAGGGUCCUAGGUCCAGCUUCCAGAAUGACACUUUAACAGGAAAUCAUCUGAUUUUCAUUUUCUGGCAGUGAGACUAAUGGAAGUUUUCAUGUGAGUGUACAAAGAGCGGAUCUUGGAGUCUGGGAUACAAUCCAAGGAAGCAGCACGUCUGCCUGCACUCUACGAUGCUCCCCACCAUGAUGACAAUGGACUAAAACCUCUGACACUGUCCAGCUUGUUUGAUGUGGGAGCUAAGGCAGUCUAGACUGGUCUAACACAAAGCUAACACCCCAAGGGGGCCUGGACUACAGAGGCUACCUGAACUGUGGCCUGCUUAAAGCAGUACCACAGAGAUGGGAGGCACCCAAGGGUCUUAGCCCCAUCAGGUGCUGCAAGAACACCCUCUUCACUGGGUAGUUUAUAAACGAGUGUACUCCUUGGAGUCUCGGAGGAGGGAGGGCUAAGAUGUAUCAGCCCCACACCUCCUAGCUUGUGGAUCAAGCUCCUGUGGAGGAAGCUAACACAGCAGAAAGUAAAUGUGGACUGACAGAGAACGCAAGGCCAUUCGAGAAACUGUCAGAUGCUGAGAAUCACCUCAGAACACGCCGAGAAGGAGAGCUAAGGAGGUGAGGCCUGGGUUGCGGGAGGUUGGCCGCCCCUGACAGCAGCAGUUCCCACGGCUGGAAGGAGUGUUCUCUUCUGGUUGUCUGCACUCGGGCUUCAGAGGCCUGGGCAUGAGGGAAAAAAAGGGAGAAUGAAUACAUUAGUAUUCCAUAAAGACAUAGGAGCAGAUACGUGGGAAUGGCUGUCAUGAUCAGGAACCGCACGUUCUGUCUUCUGGGUAGUCGUGGCUGUCAGGUUGGAGGCCCAGGGAGAGCCAGUGUCCUAUCAGUCAAAACCAUGAUGGCAUGGCUUACAUGGUAUCUCAGAUAAAAUCUUUUCUGUUUGGGAAAGAAGCAUAUUCUCUCUGUUCUAUUUCAGCUUCAGUUAAAUGGACUAAGAAGACUCACAUCAUAGAGGGAAGUCUGUUUUACUGAGUCCGAUUUUUUUCAAAUAAAAUGUUUUCUUU
rnacentral:lncRNA from 1 species